rnacentral:lncRNA from 12 species
UGUUAACCUUUGUGUGGGCUUCACACACUCUGAGGUGGGUCUUGUCUUCAUGAAGACAUCAUGGGUUUAAGGGUGAGGUCAUAGCAGGAGGAAUCAUGGAAUGGUUUGGGUUGGGAGCAGCCUUGAAGGUUCUGUUGUUCCAACUCCCCUGCCAUGUGCAGGGAAUGUUCCACCAGACCACGUCACUGGGAGCCAAAUCCAACCUGGCCUUGGACAACUCUGGGUCUGUGGUGGUAGAAAUAACCCUUCAGCUGAAUUUGGGAGAAGCAGGAUUUCACCUGCUCAUCACCAGCUGCUCAGGAGGGCCAUGCAGAGGGGAUGGUUUGCAUGGAUCACCUCAGGUGCCUGCAGGCUGCUUGGACAGCAGAGGUAGCAGAAUAACAUGA